AGACUGCACCACUGCAGCUUGGGGCAGGGAAAGGGAAAACCUUCCUCACCCCAGGGAAGAAGUCACCGGCUGUGUUGUUGAUAACCACUUCUCCCAGGUCACUCUGCUUUUCUCCACCUCACAAAAACCUGGAAGCAGGAUUUAGACCUCUUUUCUAAUUUCAGAACCUCUCAGUCAGCACAGAACUAUGGUUUAGGCCAGUAGAGCCCUGGUGCCUGUGGCCUUCCUGUGGUAGGAACAGAGGAGAGGUUCCAGAGAACUCUGCCACGUGUGUCAAAGGGGGUAACUUUCUCUUCCUUCUCAGAUUCCCUUGGGUUCCCUGAACACAAUCCCUGGGAGAGGUCAGACAGUCCUCUAUCCCUACCAGGUUCAGCCCCACCUAAACCUGGCUAAUACAGCCAAGCUCAGUGACCUCUUCGCAUCAGAAGAGAUCAUCUGCCACAGUGGUUCCUAAGCCUGGGUGCCCAUGAGAAUCACCUGGAUUGUUUGCUAAGAAAACAUUCCCAUUCAGGAGAUUGAUUCAGAACUGUGAAAAGGUGUGGGAAUGUGACUUUUUAACAAUGGCCCCAGGUGAUUAUGAUGUAACUAGUCCUUGGCCCAUAGCUGGGAACCUCUCUAAACUCUUCUUUCAUAGUGGUCAAGAGAGACAAAGUGAUGUCACCAAAGUCAACCAACUUCUUCCUUUCUUCUAGGAUGGCUUGAUCGGGAGGCUCUUCAGGUGUGGCUGCCAUCAGUACCAAACUUUUCCUUACAACUUAGCAACUCUAAGAGAAGAACACCUCUGUCUAGGAGUUCCAGCAAAGUCCCAGGCUAGUCACAUGCCAUGUUAAUUUCUGAAUCUGUCACGAUGACUCCGGCCAAGUCUGGCUUCUGUGUCAAGCUCUGAAGCCAGAACGUGAAAUCAGCCCCAUGAAACCAUAUGGCCUGAAGGAUUUAUAGAAAUCUAUAUGAAUGAAUCCAUUUCAAUGUCUGGUCUGCAAGAGUACGAAGACUUGACUUCACAUACUACUUGAUGGGAUGGUUUAAUCCUGCAUUAGAGUGCUGACUGGCUAGAGGGAGUUUUCCUCCAUCAGCCCUGUAUGCACUGGACCUCCAAGACAACAAUGAAAUUAAAGACAAUUUAAUGGUUUGGGUAAUAGAUACAAAUAAAA